ACAGUCGGCCGGUUUGUCGCUCGUAUUACAUACGGGAGGAAAGUCCGGGCAACGCAGAGCAUCCUACUUCUUAAUGGGAAGUUGUCCGUGAGGGUGAAGAAACGCAGAAGAAAACAACCGCCUUUCCCCGACAAGGGCGAGGCAAGGGUGAGAAGGUGGGGUAAGAGCCUACCGGUCGGAUGGUGACAUUCGAGCCGUGCGUCUUAGGAGUUGCAAGACCAAGUAUACCGGCGCUACGAGAGCUGCUCGCUCCAUGCCGGAGGGUAGGUCGCUAAAGUGCGGCGGCGACGUCGUACGCAGAUAAAUGACAAACGCUUGCUUCGGCAGGUACAGAACCCGGCUUAUAGGCCGGCUGUUUUU
rnacentral:RNase_P_RNA from 1 species